rnacentral:ncRNA from 1 species
GAGUAGAAUUUAAGCGUCAAGUGCAUAGAGAUGGGAGGUCGCUCUAUGACGAAGGAAAGUUUCUUUCCGCGGUUUAAAUUCGCAGCCGCU